rnacentral:rRNA from 1 species
AAGACUUAUAAUAUGCCGGAAAAUACGAAUUACAAUUUAAAACCCAAAGAAUAUGGCGGUAUUAUAUAUACUCGGGGGAACCUGUUUCUUAAUUCGAUAGUCCACGAUAAAUCAAUCCUAAUUUAGAAUUUUUAUCAGCCUGUGUACUGCUGUCGUCAGUAAACCUCUAUAAGUAUUUAGUUUACAACUAUAUUAAAUUAUUUACGUCAAGUCAAAGUGCAGCUAAUAAUUAGUGAGAUAAAUGGGUUACAAUCUAAAUAUAGAUUACGAAUAAGUCUAUAAUCAAUACUUUAAAGGAGGACUCGAAAGUAAUUAGUAAUUUCAAUAAUUAAUUUAUACCUAUAAUAUGUACACAUCGCCCGUCGCUCUCGUCAAAA